rnacentral:snoRNA from 1 species
AAAACAAUACUUUCAGAGAUCAUUUCUAUAGCGAUUUGCUACCGAAAUGGCGUUUUUAAAGUGUUUGGACUCGCUAUCCACGAGGAAGAGUGAGAGUGUUCACUUUUGAGCGUGAAGGAGACAGCGAGUGUUUUUUUUUUUUUGGCCAACUGCUCCCUGUUAUUGAUGACCGCUCCAGUGUUCCUUAGGGGGCUGGAGGAAGCGGACACGUUCUGAGUGGG